rnacentral:rRNA from 1 species
UACAGAGGUCCCAAGCGUUACUGAGAAUCACUGGGUUUAAAGGGUGCGUAGGUGGUCCGUUAAGUCAGUUGUGAAAUCCCCGGGCUCAACCCGGGAAACUGCUUCUGAUACUGGCGGACUUGAGGCCAGUAGGGGUCACUAGAACUGACGGUGGAGCGGUGAAAUGCGUAGAUAUCGUCAGGAAUGCCGGUGGUGAAGACGGGUGACUGGGCCUGGUUCUGACACUGAGGCAGCGGAAA